CUCAGGAACAAUGUCAGGGGAUGUUCAAAAGCCACAGAAGCAGAGGCAGCUUGGGUAAGAGAAGAGGGGUGCACUAGUGCUGAACUGAGGUGGAGGAAGAGACAGACAUGCAGCAUAAUACUACUACUCAGGAGGGAUCCCAAGAAGAGUGCUUGGAAGGAUCUCAAUAUUUGUAGAGAUAUGACUCAUCAUUGGAAAGCUUUUCUUCCCUUCACCUGGAGACAGAACUGAAUGGGUGAGGAAAACUCAAGAAGAGCCCACCGGGAAGGAGUCAGGAGCUUAAGGAGCCUGGGUGCAGCCAUGGGAUAUAGAGAAGAAGGAAGGUUCUAUGGCUGUUGAGCCCAGUGGUCCAGGGAGGGGUCAGACAAGGAAGGUUUGCGGAAUUCAUGAGAGUGGAGGAGUCGCCCAAGACUGGACCUUUUUAUGAAAUCUUCUGUGAGCUGGACAAGCCUUCAAGCACAAAUGCCUUGCGACAAGGAUAGCAAAUAAAAAUUACUCAUUUACAGUGCACUCUAAAGAUAAA